GACGAACGCUGGCGGCGUGCUUAACACAUGCAAGUCGAACGGAAAGGCCCUGCUUUUGUGGGGUGCUCGAGUGGCGAACGGGUGAGUAACACGUGAGUAACCUGCCCUUGACUUUGGGAUAACUUCAGGAAACUGGGGCUAAUACCGGAUAGGAGCUCCUGCUGCAUGUUGGGGGUUGGAAAGUUUCGGCGGUUGGGGAUGGACUCGCGGCUUAUCAGCUUGUUGGUGGGGUAGUGGCUUACCAAGGCUUUGACGGGUAGCCGGCCUGAGAGGGUGACCGGCCACAUUGGGACUGAGAUACGGCCCAGACUCCUACGGGAGGCAGCAGUGGGGAAUAUUGCACAAUGGGCGGAAGCAUGAUGCAGCAACGCCGCGUGCGGGAUGACGGCCUUCGGGUUGUAAACCGCUUUCGCCUGUGACGAAGCGUGAGUGACGGUAAUGGGUAAAGAAGCACCGGCUAACUACGUG
rnacentral:rRNA from 1 species